rnacentral:rRNA from 4 species
AAAUUGAAGAGUUUGAUCAUGGCUCAGAUUGAACGCUGGCGGCAGGCCUAACACAUGCAAGUCGAACGGUAACAGGAAGCAGCUUGCUGCUUUGCUGACGAGUGGCGGACGGGUGAGUAAUGUCUGGGAAACUGCCUGAUGGAGGGGGAUAACU